AUCACGUCUAUAUCCCUUGCGAGGUAGACAUAGCUCUGUCUACAAACGACUGAAAGGUGACGUUCAGCCGUUUGGCUUAAUGGUAGAAUUGAGUUUCAAAUAGUGACAGGUUGCUAGCCCAUCGCCUAAAAGAAGAAUCCCGAAUAAGCCUAUUCAUUAGUCACCUUAUACGACAUACAUGGCAAAGAUCUGGAGUUUUUCUAUUAGUGCCGGGAAUCACACAGCAUUUUCUUUAAUUACAUUAACUUUUUUAAACGUGAGAUUUUCGUGAUGGCCUUGAUGCGUCAUUGGAAGUUCAAUAAGGGCAAUACAAAUAGCUAAGUAAAUAUGUAAUUAAAAAACUUCAAAGAUCAAGGUAGCCUCUAUACCAUAUGGAUAAUAACCAAUGUAUAAAAAUUAUAUGUAUUAAAUAAUAAUGUUUUUGAUAAAUCAUGUAUUAUAUUAAAAUGCAACAUGUGUGACAAUUUUUUAGCUAAAAAAAUUAUAUUGCAACCAUACCUAUCUCUGUAAUUACGAAUUUUAUCAUGCACUUUAUCACAUCUGGUGAAAACAUUAUGUGUAUUUCUCUUAUAUAAACCUCAUUUUUACUUGUUACUUCAUUAAUCCAAGUAAAAGAUUUUACAUCUACAGAAGCUUUAGUCUUUUUUAUCCAUAUUCUAGUUGAAAUCAUGUUAGACCAUGCAAGGCCUAAAGAAGGUAAUAAUUCAACAUUCUCAUCAAAUGAAGCUGAUACUUGAUUUAUACAAAGUACAGCAAAAUUAUAUUCCUGAGCUAUUUUUAUUAGUGUGACUGCCAUUUCCCUUAAUUCUUCAGCCCUUUGAAUAUAAUUCGUGGUUUCUGAACGGAAAGGUGCUGCAACUGAAUCAAUUAUAACUAAGGCUGGUUUGUGUUGAACAAGCAACUUCGGCAGACGCACUCUUAUACAUGAAAGUAAAUCCAGCGCCUCUGUUAUGUGCUCAACAAAAAUGUUCUUCCCACAGUCUAUUCCCACCUUAUAACCCAAUAAACCUUUUUUUAAUUGUUCAAAU